UAAUGGUGAAUUUUUCUUGGAAUCCAGA
rnacentral:sRNA from 1 species